rnacentral:rRNA from 1 species
GCGUUGUCCGGAAUUACUGGGCGUAAAGCGCGCGUAGGCGGCGAUCUACGUCUGGGGUGAAAGCCCGGAGCUCAACUCCGGGACUGCCUUGGAUACGGGAUCGCUUGAGAAUUGGAGAGGCAAGGGGAAUUCCACGUGUAGCGGUGAAAUGCGUAGAUAUGUGGAGGAACACCGGUGGCGAAGGCGCCUUGCUGGCCAAUAUCUGACGCUGAGGCGCGAAAGCGUGGGGAGCAAACAGG